rnacentral:rRNA from 1 species
AUGAACGCUGGCGGCGUGCCUAAUACCUGCAAGUCGAGCGAACAGACGAGGAGCUUGCUCCUCUGACGUUAGCGGCGGACGGGUGAGUAACACGUGGCUAACCUACCUAUAAGACUGGGAUAACUUCGGGAAACCGGAGCUAAUACCGGAUAAUAUAUUGAACCGCAUGGUUCCAUAGUGAAAUACGGUUUUGCUGUCACUUAUAGAUGGAUCCGCGCCGCAUUAGCUAGUUGGUAAGGUAACGGCUUACCAAGGCAACGAUGCGUAGCCGACCUGAGAGGGUGAUCGGCCACACUGGAACUGAGACACGGUCCAGACUCCUACGGGAGGCAGCAGUAGGGAAUCUUCCGCAAUGGGCGAAAGCCUGACGGAGCAACGCCGCGUGAGUGAUGAAGGUCUUCGGAUCGUAAAACUCUGUUAUUAGGGAAGAACAAAUGUGUAAGUAACUAUGCACGUCUUGACGGUACCUAAUCAGAAAGCCACGGCUAACUACGUG